GUUCUGCUGAUGUUCUCACAGAACUGAACUUGACCUCCUGCCAGAUGGAAACAACAUCUCUUUUAACUUCCUCUGUGUGCUCCUCAAAACAUGAAUGACUUGUUUACUUUCUUCACUUGUUGCCUUGAAACACAAAACAAAUGAUAUGUACAGAAAGAUAAUACAGUACUUAGUUACUGAAUUUAUAUACUGAUCAGCAGACCAGACAGAAUCUGUGGAGCUUUUUUUUCCACACAUUUUGAUUUUGGGAGAAAAUUUAUUUUUUUAUGGAUAAAAUGUGUUAAAUGUGGGUGAAAGUCAUCUGUGGAGUUAAGAUUCAGAUUUAUUACAAGAUCAGUGAUCGGUACAGAUCUAAGGCUUAAGAAAUAUAAAAUCUAAUUUAUGUCAUUUUUUUUUAAAUCAACUACUGUAACAUAUACAUGUACAAGAGUUCUAACAAAGUUGCAGCAUGGUAUAAACAAUUUCAUAAAAUUAGCAUAAUGCCUUACUUGUUUAAUUUGUAUUAUUUUCACUUUCAGUUGUCUGAUGAAAAAGAGCAACUGACCGCUUGACAUUGUCUGCAUGUUUUAUGCAUUAACCAGCAAACAUGUACCUAAUAUAGAGACUAUAAACUGAAUAAUGUAUUCCACAUUCUUAAUUUUGUUAUUAUGAUCUUGUGUUUUUCAAGUGUAUUAAUGGUACAGAUGUUUUUGCCACAUUUAUGUUACUUUUACAAAACUACCUUCCUUUUAGGCUUUGCCCCAGAUCUGUCAUCUGUUAAAGUAAAUAUAGCUGUACAUGUGGUCUCACGAUCUGUGUUCAUCUUCAUAACUGACUGUUCAAUGCAUUAAUAGUUUGUGGUCUGAUGUUCCACUUCCUUAUUCACCCAUUAUUAGAGUCUCAUUCAGUCUCUUUUCUCACACUCGCUGUUAUGGAGCUGUUCAUCUUCAUAGUUUUUCAGCUCCUGAUGGAGGUUCAGUCUCACCGAUUUCCUAGAGUAAAAGUAUCUCCAGAUGUCAUAAGAGAGUCCAGCUCAGUGAAGAUCAGCUGUGAGACAGAACCACGUGUUAUAGUGAAUACAUGUUAUUUCUACAUAAACAGAGAGGAGAAGAAAAUGAAAACCAGUCCAUCAUGUGAGCUCGAGCUCACUGGUGCUGAAGUGCUCAGAUGGGCAGCUGUAAAAUCACCGGAAUCACUCAACAUUAUCUGUUACUACACAAUGAUAAAUGUGCAAGGCUCAUUCAUAACAUCAUCUGAUUCUGAUCCUGCCACAGUAACGGUUCUAGUUUCAACAUCAACCACUACUGAACAAACUACUUCAACAACCAUGAAAACCUGUGAGUAAUUGAGUUUGUAAAUCAGUUAUUCUUACUCCAUUCUGAAUGUCCUGAAAACGACAAUCAUUCUUUUAAGCUCAUGAGUAUUUGUCGAUCAUUUACUACACAUACGGUACAUCACCACACAUUUCACAAUGUCUUUUCACCAGCAUUAACCGUAAUGUCCACUUCUGAGAGUACAACAUACAGUAAAACUGGUAAGUUGCUAAUAAUAGCUUUUCUGGUUAUUUUAGAUUAAAUCUGAUAAAUUAUUUCCUUCUAAAAACUGAUGGCUCUUGCAAUGUUAUUUUUAUAUUAGCAGACCUCCAAACCAAGAUAAACCCACCAAUCAGUACAGCAAAGGAAACCAUGAGUAAGUUCAUCCACUCUUUCUCAAUGGUAAAAGUCACUAUGCAGAAUUAAUAAAUUGGAUUAAAAAGCUCA
ensembl:lncRNA